UGGGGAAUAUUGGGCAAUGGGCGAAAGCCUGACGCAGCAACGCCGCGUGAGCGAAGACGGCCUUCGGGUUGUAAAGCUCUGUCAGGAGGGACGAAGCCACUCAGGUGAAUAGCCGAGAGGGUGACGGUACCUCCAGAGGAAGCCCCGGCUAACUACGGGCCAGCAGCCGCGGUAAUACGUAGGGGGCGAGCGGUGUCCGGAAUCAUUGGGCGUAAAGCGCGUGUAGGCGGCCAUCCAAGUCCGAUGUGAAAGCUCGGGGCUCAACCCCGAGUCUGCAUUGGAAACUGAAUGGCUUGAGUCCGGAAGAGGAGACUGGAAUUCCUGGUGUAGCGGUGAAAUGCGCAGAUAUCAGGAAGAACACCGGUGGCGAAGGCGGGUCUCUGGGACGGUACUGACGCUGAGACACGAAAGCGUGGGGAGCAAACA
rnacentral:rRNA from 1 species